CAGGGUGACUCAGGACUUCCUUCUGCUCCCGGAGUCAUCACUGAGCCUGGCUCUCCUGUAUCCUCAUCUAGGGAGACCUUCUUUCUGCAGAGUGGGGCCUCCACAGUCUGCACAGCUCGGCUCCCCAUUCUCUCGUGAAGGUAGGCCAGGAACUGGGUUUCCUAAUGAGUGACCAGGAAAACGGAACUUUCAAGGGGCGUGUCUGUUUAAUGAGGAAUCAGCCUGAAUGGAAGCCAACCCAGUGCCUUUCCAGGGCCAGUUUUGGGCCUUUAGUCUGGGAUGGACAGACGGCUGGCCAUCCUCAUGAAUCGCCAUGGUGCCCAGUCUGGACGGUCCAUGCGGCCCAGAGCAGAGGGAAGGGGGCUCAGCAGUGAUGAAGAUGGCUACAGGAAUGUGCAGGCCCAGCCUCCUGUGGUGGGGAGUCCAGAGCUGCUCAGACUGACUGGAAUUCCUGUUGCUCAUGCACGCUUCUGGCUUCUUUUUCGGUUCUAGGUACAAGCUGUUGUCAUGAAGCCUGGAGUUUUUCCGAGAUGCCAGAGGCAGCAGCGCAGUGCUCUUGUUUCUCAUCUAAACCUGUCCCUUUCUCAGAACAGAGCCCGCGUGUGUGAUUCCUUCGUGGUCCCAGAGCGGGUCAUCUUGCUUGCAGGGUAGCCUUGGGGCACCACUGCUUGUCAGGGUUGAGCAGAAAGGCAGACCAGAAUCCUCUGAGUCCCCCUCCCACUUCCAGCUGGUUGACUGACAUUCCACCCGACCAGAAGGAACCAGAGGAGGAAGAAGGCCUGAGAAACUGGAGGGAGGCUGCUCAGGCGGUUCUGUAGAAUGUUCUAGAAUACCUAGAAAAAAAAAAAUAAAGCACCCAACAGGCUGAAGCAAGGAAAUUACUGUAGGUAGUGAGUUCUUGGCCAGCAUGGGCUACAUGGGUGUAACUCUGCAUAGAAUAACCAACCAACCAACCAACCACCAAGGCUGGAAAACUGGCUUGGCAGUUAAGGGCAAGUCCUGCUCUUGGAGAGGACCCAAGUUUAGUGCCCAGCAUCUACACCGGGUGGUUCACAACCACCUGCAUCUCUGGAGAACACAAAAACUUCUUUUUCGUGUGUGGUUUUGUUUGUUUGCUUGUUUGAGACAGGGUCUCCUUGUAGCCCACCUGUACUGGAAUUCACUCUGUAGACCAAGCUGGUCUAGAACUCAGAUUUGCCAGCCUCCUGAGUGCUGGGAUUAAAGGCAUGCGCCAGCACUGCCCAGCUUCGACAAUGUCUUUUGGCCUCCAUGAAUACUUUAAGUCAUAUGUGUGCACACACGAGAACACAUGUGCUCUUGCACAUACACACUCACACACACCAAUAAAAAUCUUAACAAGAAAAAACCAUCCCGAGCACUAAUUCUUAGGGCCUGGACUUUGGGUUGGGGAGCCAGGUUUGCACUGCAGCGGGGCUGGCCCUCACUUCCAGGCUGGGGAAGCUAUCCAGCUCUUCCAGCUUCUCCUCAAAUGGGCCACGGCCAUGGUAGAAGACAGACCUCCUUCAUGCAGCAGCACGGAAGCCAGCUCUGGAAACACCUACCCGGGGAAGGGAGGGAUCCAGCUCCAGGGGCUGCCUUAGGAAGGCAGGACGACUCGCCUGAGAUCACACAGGACCAUCAGGACCGUCGCAGGGUCUGUAGAUAUAUGUGUAUUUCUCCUGAAAUCGGGGAAAAUAAACUCAUUUUCUGAGGAAAAUGUUU
rnacentral:lncRNA from 1 species